rnacentral:rRNA from 1 species
AUUGAACGCUGGCGGCAGGCCUAACACAUGCAAGUCGAACGGUAACAGGAAACAGCUUGCUGUUUCGCUGACGAGUGGCGGACGGGUGAGUAAUGUCUGGGAAACUGCCUGAUGGAGGGGGAUAACUACUGGAAACGGUAGCUAAUACCGCAUAACGUCGCAAGACCAAAGAGGGGGACCUUCGGGCCUCUUGCCAUCGGAUGUGCCCAGAUGGGAUUAGCUAGUAGGUGGGGUAACGGCUCACCUAGGCGACGAUCCCUAGCUGGUCUGAGAGGAUGACCAGCCACACUGGAACUGAGACACGGUCCAGACUCCUACGGGAGGCAGCAGUGGGGAAUAUUGCACAAUGGGCGCAAGCCUGAUGCAGCCAUGCCGCGUGUAUGAAGAAGGCCUUCGGGUUGUAAAGUACUUUCAGCGGGGAGGAAGGGAGUCAAGUUAAUACCUUUGCUCAUUGACGUUACCCGCAGAAGAAGCACCGGCUAACUCCGUG